rnacentral:lncRNA from 1 species
UCGUUUUAGGAAUACGAAAAAUGCUCCCACUAUCUUCUUGUAAACACACAAUUCGUUUUCAAAUUUGAUAAAAUCAAACACUUUGACUUUUCAUCAAAUCUAAGAUUUUAGCUCCAAGAGACUUCUCUUAACCUAUAGUCACGAUAUGCAACUGUUGCAAACAAAAUUCGAAUGGACUUAAGCAAGGCUACAGGAGAAAUAUUUCACCAAGGUCAACAUUUAACCUUUGCUUCUAGCAUUGCUUUGUAUAUAUGGAUAUUCAUAUCCAUAUUGACCUUUUCUUUUGUAAACUAUUUACAAAAGCUUAUGGGCUUUAUUCCAUUAGGAGGCUUGACCAAGGUCCAAACCUUGUUC